rnacentral:rRNA from 1 species
AGUGAACGCUGGCGGUAGGCCUAACACAUGCAAGUCGAACGGCAGCACAGUAAGAGCUUGCUCUUACGGGUGGCGAGUGGCGGACGGGUGAGGAAUACAUCGGAAUCUACUUUUUCGUGGGGGAUAACGUAGGGAAACUUACGCUAAUACCGCAUACGACCUACGGGUGAAAGCAGGGGAUCUUCGGACCUUGCGCGAUUGAAUGAGCCGAUGUCGGAUUAGCUAGUUGGCGGGGUAAAGGCCCACCAAGGCGACGAUCGGUAGCUGGUCUGAGAGGGUGACGGGCCAGGCUGGGACUGAGACGCGGCCCAGCCUCCUACGGGGGGCAGCGGUGGGGAAUAUUGCACUAUGGGCGAAAGAAUGAAGCAGCGACGCCGCGUGAGGGAUGACGGCCUUCGGUAUGUAAACAUUAUCCAGUAGGGAAGAAGCGAAAGUGACGGUACCUAAAGAAGGAGCACGGGCUAACUACGUG